AUUUGAAAGCUGGCUCCUUCGGGGUCCGCAUUGUAAUUUGCAGAGGAUGCUUCGGGAGUGGCCCCCAUCUAAGUGCCCUGGAACGGGCCGUCAUAGAGGGUGAGAAUCCCGUCUGGGAUGGGGUGUCCACGCCCGUGUGAAGCUCCUUCGACGAGUCGAGUUGUUUGGGAAUGCAGCUCUAAAUGGGUGGUAAAUUUCAUCUAAAGCUAAAUACUGGCCGGAGACCGAUAGCGCACAAGUAGAGUGAUCGAAAGAUGAAAAGCACUUUGAAAAGAGAGUUAAACAGCACGUGAAAUUGUUGAAAGGGAAGCGCUUGCGACCAGACUCGCCCACGGGGUUCAGCCGGCAUUCGUGCCGGUGUACUUCCCCGCGGGCGGGCCAGCGUCGGUUUGGGCGGCCGGUCAAAGGCCCUCGGAAUGUAACGCCCCCCGGGGCGUCUUAUAGCCGAGGGUGCCAUGCGGCCAGCCCGGACCGAGGAACGCGCUUCGGCUCGGACGCUGGCAUAAUGGUCGUAAGCGACCCGUCUUGAAACACGGACCAAGGAGUCUAACAUCUACGCGAGUGUUCGGGUGUCAAACCCGUGCGCGCAGUGAAAGCGAACGGAGGUGGGAACCCCUCGGGGUGCACCAUCGACCGAUCCUGAUGUCUUCGGAUGGAUUUGAGUAAGAGCGUAGCUGUUGGGACCCGAAAGAUGGUGAACUAUGCCUGAAUAGGGCGAAGCCAGAGGAAACUCUGGUGGAGGCUCGCAGCGGUUAAAACGUGCAGGUCGAUCGUCGAAUUU
rnacentral:rRNA from 1 species